rnacentral:rRNA from 1 species
GACGAACGCUGGCGGUGUGCUUCACACAUGCAAGUCGAACGAGGUAGCAAUACCUAGUGGCGGACGGGUGAGUAACGCGUGGGAAUCUGCCUUUAGAUGGGGGAUAACGGGUCGAAAGACUCGCUAAUACCGCAUAUGACGAAAGUUGAAAGGAGUAAUCCGUCUAAAGAUGAGCCCGCGUCCGAUUAGCUAGUUGGUAGAGUAAAAGCCUACCAAGGCGACGAUCGGUAGCUGGUCUGAGAGGAUGAUCAGCCACAAUGGGACUAGAGACACGGCCCAUACUCCUACGGAGGCAGCAGUGGGAAUUUUACGCAAUGGCGAAAGCCUGACGUAGCGACACCGCGUGAGCGAAGAAGCCCCUUGGGUGUAAAGCUCUGUCAGCUGGACGAAAAAAUGACGGUACCAGCAGAGGAAGCAUCGGCUAACUACGUGCCAGCAGCCGCGGU